AUUGAACGCUGGCGGCAGGCCUAACACAUGCAAGUCGAACGAGUGGCGGACGGGUGAGUAAUGUCUGGGAAACUGCCUGAUGGAGGGGGAUAACUACUGGGAACGGUAGCUAAUACCGCAUACCAUCAGAUGUGCCCAGAUGGGAUUAGCUAGAUGGUGGGGUAACGGCUCACCAAGGCGACGAUCCCUAGCUGGUCUGAGAGGAUGACCAGCCCAACUGGGACUGAGACACGGUCCAGACUCCUACGGGGGGCAGCGGUGGGGAAUGUUGCACAAUGAGCGCAAGCCUGAUACAGCCAUUCCGCGUGUAUGAUGAGGGCCUUCGGGUUGUAAAGUACUUUCAGCGGGGAGGCGUUACCCGCAGAAGAAGCACCGGCUAACUCCGUGCCAGCAGCCGCGGUAAUUC
rnacentral:rRNA from 1 species